CCUGAUCCAGCCAUGCCGCUGAAUGAAGAAGCCUUCGGGUUGUAAAGUUUUUCGGCCGGGAAGAAAUCGCAUGGAUUAAUACUCUGUGCGGAUGACGGUACCGGCAUAAGAAGCACCGGCUAACUACGUGCCAGCAGCCGCGGUAAUACGUAGGGUGCGAGCGUUAAUCGGAAUUACUGGGCGUAAAGCGUGCGCAGGCGGUUUUUUAAGACAGGCGUGAAAUCCCCGGGCUCAACCUGGGAACUGCGCUUGUGACUGGAAGACUAGAGUAUGGCAGAGGGGGGUGGAAUUCCACGUGUAGCAGUGAAAUGCGUAGAGAUGUGGAGGAACACCGAUGGCGAAGGCAGCCCCCUGGGCCAAUACUGACGCUCAUGCACGAAAGCGUGGGUAGCAAACAGGAUUAGAUACCCUGGUAGUCCACGCCCUAAACGAUGUCAACUAGGUGUUGGGAGGGUAAAACCUUUUAGUACCGUAGCUAACGCGUGAAGUUGACCGCCUGGGGAGUACGGCCGCAAGGUUAAAACUCAAAGGAAUUGACGGGGACCCGCACAAGCGGUGGAUGAUGUGGAUUAAUUCGAUGCAACGCGAAAAACCUUACCUACCCUUGACAUGUCCAGGAGCCCUUAGAGAUUUGGGUGUGCCCGAAAGGGAACUGGAACACAGGUGCUGCAUGGCUGUCGUCAGCUCGUGUCGUGAGAUGUUGGGUUAAGUCCCGCAACGAGCGCAACCCUUGUCGUUAAUUGCCAUCAUUUAGUUGGGCACUUUAGCGAGACUGCCGGUGACAAACCGGAGGAAGGUGGGGAUGACGUCAAGUCCUCAUGGCCCUUAUGGGUAGGGCUUCACACGUCAUACAAUGGUCGGUACAGAGGGUUGCCAACCCGCGAGGGGGAGCCAAUCCCAGAAAGCCGAUCGUAGUCCGGAUCGUAGGCUGCAACUCGCCUGCGUGAAGUCGGAAUCGCUAGUAAUCGCGGAUCAGCAUGUCGCGGUGAAUACGUUCCCGGGUCUUGUACACACCGCCCGUCACACCAUGGGAGCGGGUUCCGCCAGAAGUAGGUAGCUUAACCGCAAGGAGGGCGCUUACCACGGCGGGGUUCGUGACUGGGGUGAAGUCGUAACAAGGUA
rnacentral:rRNA from 1 species